CGAUAAUCUCAUGACAGGUGCGCCUUGAAUCGGUUAAUACCAGGCUCACACUUUGCCAAGGAAGUUCUACUUAACCCGAGCCGAGCCCUCCUCCUUCGAUUCACGUGGAGGGUGGAAACUGUAUAUAGAUCAAUUAGCAACAGAGGAAGAUGGCAUCCUUUAGCCUUUGGCCACCUUCGUUACACCCUCCACUUUAUUAGGGAGUUAGCAUGCCACGAAGGCGUUAUUCCCAGCGUUGUAUGUUUUCUCUGCGAGGAUUCUCCCUUGCGAACCCAGAGCGCUCAACACGACGAUUGCGUCGACGCCGGGCGUAUUUCUUGAAUCAGGGGUGCACGUUAGACAUAGGGGUUGUUGCCUGCAACCCCGUUCAAUAGGGUGACUCGAAUGACGUAACAAAGCGCGCGUUUUAUCAGGAAAACAACAGUCGACGAAAGAUGCAACUACCCCCAGGAAUUAGGAAUUCUGGCAAUCGGCAGGAGCCAACCCCCACUCUUUGAAACCUCCGCCAUUUUGACGCGUGGGAAUGCUGGAAAAACUGACCUAGUCAACAAGCUUAACCUUUGCGACGUCACGCGGCCUGACAUUCGUACCCGGGAAUUAUAGGGUUCCAGAGGGCAUCUGAAAUGUUGCGCGGGUCCUGCACGGGGGUGGUGAUAUUGACACGCUUUUCGAACCGCACCACCUCCGCAGAACAGGAGCCCAUGCAUCCGAGAGCGUACACAAACAUCGAGGGAGUAGGUGUCAUCGGCAAAGUUCAAUCAACAGCGCUUCCCUCGAUCCUCCCGCUGCAAUAUGCAUUUUCACGGCUCGACACAGUGAGAUUGCGUAUCUCUGGAGGCUUUGCGAAGGAAUGCAUCAAGAAAUUCUAUGGACUCUUACAAUGACUAUUGUAAGUAUUAAGGUUUGAGAAUAAGGACUUUGGCUCUAUCUUCCUGACGAUGUGUUUUGAAGAUUAUUUACGAAAAGGGCCACAAUCAAGAUCAAGGUUGACUCCAUUAUGGUAACUGACUAAAACUAACUAAAACUAAGCCAAAAUAUUUUUCAAGGACUUCACCUGAUGGAAAUCUCUCUCCGACCACCGUCUCGAUCCAUUGUUGGGCUUCAGCCUCCUGGCUAGCCUCUCGUUUCCCAGCAACCUGAAAGCAGAAGAUGAAAGGGUCGCUAUUUUAAAACUUUUUGAAUGUUGAUACUUCAGUAUGAGUGUUAUGGACCGGAUGGGCCCCCCUCCUUCACCCUUGUCGCACGUGUCGAAUAUUCAUUGUCGUUUAUUUUAGAUGUUAUGGAGGAGAGCAAGCGCACCCGGCGGUUUGAUUAACGACGUCUUUCAGUUUUAUAUAUAUAUUCUCUAGAAAUUGAAGAGAAGAUGUUGGUAAAGUGUAUUUUAUUAUUUCAAGUAUGAAAACGUUUAAACUAAUUAUAAAUCCUUUGAAUCUACAAACAUUUUCAAGGUUAGGAUUUUACUCUAUAUUCGAUAAGGUAUCAAGAUAUUUUGUUUCGAUUUGUAUCAUCAGUUUCCGUAGAAACUUCCAAAAAUUGCCGUAGCCGAUGGUAUUUCACAUCGUCAUGGCGGGGUAUUGGUAAAAGUUUUCAACUAGCAAUAAUCGCACCUCGGUAGAACCUCAUUGGUUACGAUAUCGCCACUGCGCAAAGCUGAUGAGCACGUUUUUCCCCGUCCUACUAAUAACAGCGCCAGCAUCUUUUAGCUGCGAGAAAUCCGUCAACCUCGAUGCCAUCUAGUGGCAGGUCCGUCAACUAACCGCCCUAACAAGAUCGUACUACUGUCUCUGGUUUACUGGUCUGUACAAUUUCAAGCUUUAUAAUAACUGCAGUUCAAUCAAACUUUCUAGUACUCAUGAAGUUACUUAACAAUAUAAAUAUACACAAUUUAAUAAACAACAUUCUUCGGUCAGUAUUUCCAACAGCAAUCUAUCCAAUUUGUUUUAAACAACUUUACUUUCAGUUGCUGUGCAAGGCAACUGCAAUCGGUGUAUUUGCAAUUGAACGCAAGUAAAGAUUGGUUGAGUAUUUGCUGGAAAUGCACUGUGAUAGGGAAACAGGAUGCUAAGAGGUGGCAGUUAAGUA